rnacentral:rRNA from 1 species
AACUACUGAAAACGGUAGCUAAUACCGCAUAACGUCGCAAGACCAAAGAGGGGGACCUUCGGGCCUCUUGCCAUCGGAUGUGCCCAGAUGGGAUUAGCUAGUAGGUGGGGUAACGGCUCACCUAGGCGACGAUCCCUAGCUGGUCUGAGAGGAUGACCAGCCACACUGGAACUGAGACACGGUCCAGACUCCUACGGGAGGCAGCAUG